GGCUGCCCUCGGGCCUGUCUCGCCUGUGGGCGGGCGGCUCCGGGCUCCUGCUGCCGAGCCGGCGCUGUCGGCUCCCCCAGGCCUCUCUCCGCGAGCCCUACCGCGCCGCGCGCUCCUCUCCCGGGGCGAGGGGCGGGGGGUUUCAAUUACCAGUGCCAAAGACAGUCUCGAAAGCAAAUAAUUCUCUGAUCUAUGGUCCAGAAGGUCAACAGCAGCCUGAGGCUACUUCACCAUGCCUCUGUCAUUCGGCUCUCAUCAUCUCAUCAUAUAGGCAAUUUAUCAUCCCAUGUCAUCCCAAGGCCAUCCAGGCAGGUGUAAGGUGUUAUCUCAUCAUGGUUUUGAUUUCCAUUUCCCUGAUGCUUUUUUUCCCCUUCACGUUCCACAUCAAGUCCUAUUACCUCCACCUCCGAAAUAUUUCCUAAAUCUGACUACUUCUCAGCUCUAGUCCAAGCCUCCGUCGUGUCUUUACUGGACAACUGGACUUCCUGCUUGCAUACUUGCCCACUGACAUGGUAGACAAGCACUUGUGGGACACGGUAACACUGAAGGCGGACUGUGUCAAUUUCUUUCCAAAUGGGGACAGAAGACCUAGCUCUUAGGAAAUUCUGGAGCAUAGCUGCGUAACAAUGGACAAGAAGAGAGAGAUGAGCAACAGAAGGAACUAUGAAACUUAGAAGAAGAUUCUAGAGGACAUCUAGAAGCCCAAGGAUUUGCUGGUUUGGAAAAUAUAACUCUUGCCCCAGUUCUCCCAUCUGGUAAAAAUUUCUCAAAGCGAAAAAUCAAACCAGGGGUAUGGCUGUAAGGACCCUUGUUCAGACCCCUGAAUGAUUUAAGUAAUGCCUAAAGGAUUGUUUCAAGUAGAGCUUUUGAGAUCUUAAGGAUAUUUUCCCACAGCAGCCUCAAAUCGUUGCCCAAAAGACCAUAUCUAUAACACAGAACACCAUGAAGCUCCCCUAUUUUGAUGGCACUAUGUUAAUUGGAUCACUGGAAUACCAGAGGGGAACAAAUAAAUCCUAAAUGAUUGGGGCAGGGUGAGGGGGAGUCUACUAUAUCAGUGAAGGUUUUAGGAGACCAGUUGUCUGAAGAAUCCCAAGACAUCCACACCAUGUUUGGGGACAAGUACCUUGCUUUUCCUACCACUCAGAGAUCCAGUACUGGGUAGGCCUCUUCAGACUUUGGUGAUACACAUUUAGGAAUACUGCUCCCAUCUUUAUAGUAACAAGUUUUGAAGGGGAGCCAGAGAAAGACUAGACGCUGCAACAGGUUCUGGUUGCAGUUUAAGUGGCCUUGCUGCUUGGGUCACAGGACUAGUAGAUUCCAGGGUGCUGGUUUUGUCAUGGGUGUCCAUGCCACGCAGUGUCCGGCAAGCUCCAUUAGGAAAUCUGCCGUAUAGACCUUUAAGGGCUCUGCUGCACAUCCAUUCUUUUUAAUGUUCCCAGCAGCAGAUCUUAACCAAUGCUGGAUAGAGAAUUGGUAAAUAAAUAUCCUGGUUAACUUGCUCCUCACAUGGUAUAACUCUGAGAUGUGUCCUGUGCCAUCUCCCAGAGCUCCCUGAUGGGCUUACACCCUGUUGCCCACAACCCACCGUUUACUGACUUCCUUCCUUUCUCUCCCACACUUCUAGUUUCCUACUGGUAAUUCUAUCUCUGAAAUUAGCUCCUUGCCCUCUAAUCUUUGUCUCAGUAUCUACCUCUGGAAGGACCCCACCUAACGGACCAACAAUUCAGAACAUCUUUGACUCUUUCUCGGAACAGAGCUUUUUUCCAGAAUAGAAAGUUGCUAUGAUGCAAGACCCUGGUUUCCUGAUGGUUCAGUGGGCUUUCUGCUGUUCUGCAGGUCCAUUCAUACUCUGUCAGGUGAAGCUUUGCCAGAACCCACCUGAAGCCACAGGAGUGAUCUAGAUAGGCUUCUAUCAUCAUGGAGCUUCAGGUCUGGAGAUACAAAGAGCUUUCAUUCACUGAUGCUUUCUAGUAGACAGAAUAUGAAGCAUUUCCUAUACAUUAUCUUUUUAAAAGAGAAUGUAAAUGUAAUAAUGUAAAGAUAAUGUAAAUGUAAAGCCUCACUUUACAAUGAAGUUAGCCUACUCUCAGACAAGUUCCUUGCCCCAAAUCUUAUCACUGGUAAGUGGUGGAUCUCCACCCUAGACCAGAGACUGUCUGAUGCCGGCUUAUGCCUGUACUGUUUUCCUUAUUUCAGUUCCCUUAUGUCAGUUCCGCCAUUUGCUAGAAAAUGUAUCUUUUCAAGGCAGAGUAAGACCCUCUGCCCACCUCCACUCUUUGUCUCUCCUCCUGCCUUAAAAAGGAUUAGACACUAGAUUAAGCACUGGUGGCAGAGAUUUGGGACAAGAAACAAGGGCCAGGAAUAGAAUGGCAGGAGGUCCUACUGCAACUGGGAACUGUUAACAAGUUCCCACAACUCCUUCAAACUGCAUCUCUCUGCUGGAUAACUUAGGCUUUUCAAGAUGUGGGGGAAAGCUCCAUUUUCGUCCCUUAUGUAGGCAAUGGAAAUUCCUUUAAAUGAGUAAUUGAAAGAAGACAGAACCAAGUUGGUGUAUUAUGCUAAUAAAGGCUGUUAAAGGGAGCAAUGGGAAAAAACAAUUAUAAAUUAAUUUCAAAGACCAAAUGUUGGUUUGAAUGAGUCUAGAUAUUUGCCUUGAUCAACCCUAGCUCAGUAAAAAUUAGGGGUUUUGGUCUGUUUUGUUUUGUUUUUUGAGUCUAGUUUCCUGGUAUGAGAGUCAAGAGGAUAGGACAUUCCGUAAGUGUUACAGAUGUGAACCCACUUCCAUUUAUUGGUGGCCUUAGAUGGCCUAUAACCAGGGCAUAACCUUCCAGGUAAACAUUUAACUUUGGAGAAUUAGUAGAAGAUGCUUCGCUAACUUCUAAAGUUAUUCUUCCCUCACACGAACACUACCCCAUUAGAUUUGUAGCGCUUUUU